UACGUAGGGUGCAAGCGUUAAUCGGAAUGACUGGGCGUAAAGGGUGUGUAGGCGGUCUGCAAAGUCUGAUGUGAAAUCCCCGGGCUCAACCUGGGAACUGCGUUGGAUACUGGUAGGCUAGAGUACGUAAGAGGGGGGUGGAAUUCCACGUGUAGCAGUGAAAUGCGUAGAGAUGUGGAGGAACACCGGUGGCGAAGGCGGCCUCCUGGCUUAAUACUGACGCUGAGGUGCGAAAGCGUGGGGAGCAAACAGG
rnacentral:rRNA from 1 species